CCUCCACCUGCUGGAGGAGGGGCCGGGGCGGAGCUAAGAUGAGGAGGGAGGUGACGCACGAGCGACCCAGAUCUCCUCGCUCCCCGCCCGACCCCCACUAAGGCCCGGACAGCGGCAGACCUCGCCGGCUGCCCCUUGGUUAAAAAUGGUCUCCAGGAUGGUUUCUACUCUGCUGUCUGGCCUAGUGUUUUGGCUGACAUUUGGAUGGACUCUAACAUCUGCUUACAGCCCGAGGACCCCUGACCGGGUCUCCGAAACAGAUAUCCAGAGGCUGCUCCAUGGCGUGAUGGAGCAGUUGGGCAUUGCGAGGCCACGGGUGGAGUAUCCAGCCCACCAGGCCAUGAAUCUUGUGGGCCCACAGAGCAUCGAAGGUGGAGCUCAUGAAGGCCUGCAGCACUUGGGUCCUUUUGGCAACAUCCCAAACAUCGUGGCAGAGUUGACCGGUGACAACAUUCCUAAAGACUUCAGUGAAGAUCAGGGCUACCCAGACCCUCCAAAUCCCUGUCCUGUUGGAAAAACAGUAGAUGAUGGAUGUCUCGAAAACACCCCUGACACAGCAGAGUUCAGUCGAGAAUUCCAGUUACACCAGCACCUUUUUGAUCCAGAACAUGACUAUCCAGGCUUGGGCAAGUGGAACAAGAAACUCCUUUAUGAGAAGAUGAAGGGAGGACAAAGGCGCAAGCGGAGGGAACCAGGAAGUGCUGAACUGUCUGCUCCAGGCAAUAAUUUUGAAGGAAUGUGGAGGCAAAAGAUGAGAUGAACAAACUCAUUCCUUCUACACACCUUUCUCCUUGGCCUAACCAGAUUGAUGGAACACUCCACUAGAUCCAUUGUAUUUGUUUGCUGACUGAGUGUCAAUCCAUAUCUACAAGGACAGAGACUGGACAACGUGGUUGCAAAGAAGUCAGUCCCCCAUUUUUCAGACGAGGAAAAGGACCCAGAGUAAAGUGGAGAUGCUGGGAGGAAACCCACGCUGCCUGCCAAGCCUCCUCGGUAUUGCUUCUGCGCACGUGUUAUUAGAGCCGCUGUGAGUGGCAGCAUGUUUCUAAUUUAGACAAAUGUGGAUGCAAAGCAGCUGUAUUUUGAUACCGUGUUGUCCUUUACACCGAUAGCUCUACUUCCUGCUAAAUCAGGAUAAGAGCUUUUUUUUUGUAAAUGUAGAUCUGCAAUGAGCAUUAAAAUUAAAGUGUGAAUGUCAACAACAGUCAAAGGCAAGUAAAUGAAAUGUCUGCCGAUUUCUUGGAGUUUAAAAUGGUGUUUUGGGUGGCACUGUUUUGACCAAGGCUGUAAAAAGCUGGCAUUUGAUUUUGAUUAUGUAGUUCAUCCAGCCCUUAGGCAUCGUUACACACCAGUAAAGACGAUUUCACCCAGGAGGAGGAGCCAACACGUUUCACUUGGCUGCAUCUUAAUAAAUGUGUAUGUAG